GACAGAGGGGCCAAGCGUUAGGCGGAAUCACUGGGCUUAAAGCGUGUGUAGGCGGAUGCCUAAGUACCUUGUGAAAUCCCCCGGCUCAACCGGGGAACUGCUGGGUAUACUGGGUGUCUUGGGUCAUCUAGGGGCUGCCGGAACAAAUGGUGGAGCGGUGAAAUGCGUAGAUAUCGGGAAGAACACCAAAGGCGAAAGCGCUCUGCUGGGCCGAAACUGACACUGAGAGACGAAAGCUAGGGGAGCGAAUGGG
rnacentral:rRNA from 1 species